rnacentral:rRNA from 1 species
GAUGAACGCUGGCGGCGUGCCUAAUACAUGCAAGUCGAGCGAAGCGGGGAAGGGUGAGUAACACGUGGAUAACCUCCUAUAAGACUGGGAUAACUUCGGGAAACCGGAGCUAAACCGGAUACUUAUGUAUGGAUCAGGGCUGCAUUCGCUAGUUGGUAAGGGAACGGCUUACCAAGGCAACAAUGCAUAGCCGACCUGAGAGGGUGAUCGGCCACACUGGAACUGAGACACGGUCCAGACUCCUACGGGAGGCAGCAGUAGGGAAUCUUCCGCAAUGGGCGAAAGCCUGACGGAGCAACGCCGCGUGAGUGAUGAAGGUCUUCGGAUCGUAAAACUCUGUUAUUAGGGAAGCGGUACCUAAUCAGAAAGCCACGGCUAACUACGUGCCAGCAGCCGCGGUAAUUC